rnacentral:tRNA from 1 species
GUUCUUGUAAUUUAAAAAAAAUACUGGUCUUGUAAAUCAGAAAUAAGAUUCAUCUUUAAGAACU